rnacentral:rRNA from 1 species
UAGGGAAUCUUCGGCAAUGGGGGGAACCCUGACCGAGCAACGCCGCGUGAGUGAAGAAGGUUUUCGGAUCGUAAAGCUCUGUUGUUAAGGAAGAACGAGUGUGAGAAUGGAAAGUUCAUACUGUGACGGUACUUAACCAGAAAGGGACGGCUAACUACGUGCCAGCAGCCGCGGUAAUACGUAGGUCCCGAGCGUUGUCCGGAUUUAUUGGGCGUAAAGCGAGCGCAGGAGGUUAGAAAAGUCUGAAGUGAAAGGCAGUGGCUCAACCAUUGUAGGCUUUGGAAACUGUUUAACUUGAGUGCAGAAGGGGAGAGUGGAAUUCCAUGUGUAGCGGUGAAAUGCGUAGAUAUAUGGAGGAACACCGGUGGCGAAAGCGGCUCUCUGGUCUGUAACUGACGCGGAGGCUCGAAAGCGUGGGGAGCGAACAGG